rnacentral:ncRNA from 2 species
AAGUCGCCUACCAUGGAUUUACUCCCACUCCUAGUUCACAUGGUGUUUGCUGCUGUCUGACCAGGCAAUGCAGCGAAGCACCACCCGCUGGGUUAUGGCCGAACGCCUCCAAGUCAGAACCCAUGCCAGAAGGGAAGAAUCAGGGGGAAGGAGGGAUAUGAAGAAGUACCGCAGUACCGGAGGGGGAGGGGGGGUGGAUAAGGAAACCGCCCGCCCCCCCCCGACUGGAAAGACCCACCCUUGUGAAAUCCAUUGUAGACGACUUUAGUAUGCGACGAGGUAUUGUAAGUAGUAGAGUAGCCUUGUUGUUACGAUCUAUUGAGAUUAAGCCUUUGUUGUUUAGAUUC